GCGAGAGCUUCUCUUCUCUCCCCAGCCCCGCGGCUGCUGCGUUUCUUCAGUUCUUUGCGCUUAUUAAUUUCCUUGUCCCGCAGCCUAGGUAAACAAGCGGAGACAGAACCGGCCCCGAUCGGAGGGGGAAACUGAGGCUGAGAACGCAAGGGGUCUCACGCUGGGCAUAGUCACUGACAUUUGGGUUUUAGAAAGCCGUCAUCUAUUCCGUCCAAUUCCAAAAAUUCACUUCAAAAGGCACAUUUCUCAGCCUCACCCUGGAGGAUUUUAGCAUGAAGAUCCCUAGGUCCCACUUGAGUCUCUAAUUUCCCACGACUGGAAUGAGACUGGGGAAAUAUCCCAUGGAUCUAAUGCAGGUGGUGCAAGACCCACACGCUCCGGGGCAUAUUUCGAGUCCAUCAUAGUAACGACAUUUAAAUUUAACUGCCAAAAACAAAGCAAAACUCUUUUUUUUUUUUUUUUUUUUAAAUCCUCAAAAUCAGUAAUAUGGCUGGGAGACUCUCUAGCUGGGCUGGAGGACUAAACUCAGAGCAGUGCCCUAAGUGGGUCAUGCUAAGAAUUGAAUUUGAAGGGAACUGGACUGGGAUGAAACAACAAACCUGCCUGGUUCUCUGCCUGGUGAGACAAUGCUGAAAUAUCUUAAUGGCAAACACACCCAGACACAGUCAUAAGCCCAGGAGGGUGCCUUGCUCCUCUGGAGCUUCCUUCCGAUGUGUUGAGCCCUGCCCACUCUCCCAGCCACAUUCCUCUCCUCAUCCAGGUGUCCCAGAUACACAUCUGACCUGGAAGUCACUGCCUUCAAGGUCAGCCCCAUCCACCUGGACACCCCCUAUGAAGAGCAAAUGGCCUCCACAGGAAAACCCAUCUUUUGCUAUAGUAUCUGCUAGGUACUGUGUUUGCCAGGGAAGGCUCCACACACACAUGGAUCAGCCUUGUCAGGGUUAAGUCUCCCGCUUGCUGAUAUCACUGCCUGGUAUUACCAUGUCUCCUCUUGGCAUUCCCAAAGGAAAAGAAACUCUUGUCUCAACAGGAGAGGGCUCCGUUCAUGGGUAUCUGGAAAUGUGCAACAAGAGCGAUCAUCGGUGGAGAAACAGCCCCCAACUUCUGGCCACAUCUUAAAACCCCCACCUCAGUGGGGGGUUGGGAGGGUAGGUCCUGAAACUGCACCACUGCCAGGGUCCACGGAAGCUGCGCCCCCCUCUGUGUCCAUUUCGAGCCCUACAUAAAUCUUAGAUUAAUUAAUGCCUUAUCAACCUGACCUAAACUAGAGUCCGAUAAGAUCCAGCAUGAACACUUAGAAGGAUCCCUCCUUUUUGAAAAGUGAGGAAUUUGGGUGCUUUGAAAAAUAAAUGAAUGUAUAAUAACAUAAUAUUAACACUUCCUGCCUAUUAAGAGGCUACUAUACACCUUACUAUGUCAAGGCCUUUUUACAUAUUAAUUCAAUGAAACCUUACAAUAAUCCUGUGUGGUUGAUAGGAUUGCUAUUUUCUCCAUUUUACGGAUGCAGAAACUAAAGCCCAGAGAGGAUUGCUGAUGCGUCCAAGAUCACAAGACUAGCUAAAGAAAGAGCCAGCAUUCAUGACCCUAAUGACUAGGAUCCUCCUAACUGCUCUGCUCCAGUGUCUGCCAAAAUGCCCUUUGUUGCUGCCAGAAACAGGAUGGAUAACUUCAAAAGGCAAAAAGAAGCAAACAUCACUAAUUUUUAAUGAAAGACAUAGAAGCACUGCCUUGGAGUUGAAGUUUCACUGCUCUAACUUACAUCUGUUUGACUUUGAACAAGUUACAUAAUUAUAUCUCUUUAAGCCUUGGAUUGCUCAUCUAUAAAAUGGGAUAAUAACAAAUUCUGAUUCCUUGGGCUGGUAUGAAAAUCCAGUCAAAUAAAGAAUACAUAUGUGAAUAUACAUGUACUUUGAACUUACAAAUGAAAAGAGUAAUUUCAGAGCUUGGCAUCUGUGACUCAUUAGAGUGCCUGUGACAAAGAUCAAGGAUUCUGAUGCUAAAUUUAGAUAUCAAGCAAGAGUCCUUACUCUAUGCCCCAAAUAGCUGCUCUAUAUGUACAUCAUGUACAAAGUAAAAAAAAAAUUUUUUUAGAGGUAGAGGCAGAAGUCAUAGAAAUUCAAGCCCAAAUUGUUAGUAUUACUCUGGCAUCUGCCCCCUGCACUUUGUCCCAACCAUCAACCCAAUCUCUUUCACAACCCAGAUUUCAGCUUAAGCCUACCUAGGUUCUGGCAUACUUAAAUUAUUCCCCAUUAUGACAUUUUAAGAUAAUCCCUCUUUUCUCUUGAAACUCUAAACAAACAAAAAUGCUCUAAGAUUUUUAAUUCAAUAUUUUGACACUGCAUUGCACUUUUGAAGGAAGAAAUGAUUACAGAAGUAUACAAAAACAAAAAUGUUGAUCCACUUGUUUGCCUAACAAAGGCUAGGGAUCCAUUGUGCCGCAAGCUGUACCAUUGAUGAGCAAUCGUUGAGAGCUCAGGAAAAUGGAAGGAGACAAUAGAGUGACAUGCUUAAGCCUCAGCAAUAAAAGUGAAAGAAGAUAUCGCAUGGUCGCAGGAAACAAACAAACUAAAAGGACUUCUAAUACUUUAAACGAACCAGACAGUCUUAACUACAGUAACUACCUAUCUUGGAAUUUCCAGGAAAGCAUCAAUAUCAAAUAUUCUAUCAGUACAUAAGUUCACAUUUGAGAAGGAGUUACCUUGAUCUUGGACCAGAAAAUGGCAUUAUAGAUCUGUCCCAUCAGGAAGGAGGAACGUUAGCCUUCUACUUUCCUUUGCCUUGCCCACUCCUGGAGAGUGGGAAGCACAGCUCUUCUUUAGAGGAGGUUCUUCCUCCCACACCUCAGUGGAGGGGUCAGCUUUGUUUGCACAGAAUGCAGCAGAAGCUUCCAGAGCCUGGGCAUCAAGGGGACUGUCAGCUUCCACUUCCCGGCUCUUGGAAAUCAGUCACCAUGUUUUGAGAAACCCCAGCCAUGUGGAGAAGCCAUACAGAGGAGAACUGAGGCAUGCCAGGUGAAAGACCCAAGCGAUCUCCCAGCCCUCAGUCAGUGCCAACUGCUGUCUCUGUGAGUGAGCCACCUUGAAGGUUCUAUCUGAGUCUUGCCCCAAAUAACUGGAGCCUCUGCCAUCACCAUAUGGAGCAAAAG